CCUACGGGGGGCAGCAGUGGGGAAUAUUGGACAAUGGGCGAAAGCCUGAUCCAGCCAUGCCGCGUGUGUGAAGAAGGCCUUCGGGUUGUAAAGCACUUUCAGUGGGGAAGAAAGCCUUGGGGCUAAUACCCUCGAGGAAGGACAUCACCCACAGAAGAAGCACCGGCUAACUCCGUGCCAGCAGCCGCGGUAAUACGGAGGGUGCGAGCGUUAAUCGGAAUUACUGGGCGUAAAGCGCGCGUAGGCGGUCUGAUAAGCCGGUUGUGAAAGCCCCGGGCUCAACCUGGGAACGGCAUCCGGAACUGUCAGGGUAGGGUUCAGGAGAGGAAGGUAGAAUUCCCGGUGUAGCGGUGAAAUGCGUAGAGAUCGGGAGGAAUACCAGUGGCGAAGGCGGCCUUCUGGACUGACACUGACGCUGAGGUGCGAAAGCGUGGGUAGCAAACAGGAUUAGAUACCCGAGUAGUC
rnacentral:rRNA from 1 species